rnacentral:rRNA from 1 species
UACGAAGGGGGCUAGCGUUGCUCGGAAUCACUGGGCGUAAAGGGCGCGUAGGCGGCCUUCUAAGUCGAACGUGAAAUCCCCGGGCUCAACCCGGGAACUGCGUCCGAUACUGGAAGGCUUGAAUCCGGGAGAGGGAUGUGGAAUUCCAGGUGUAGCGGUGAAAUGCGUAGAUAUCUGGAGGAACACCGGUGGCGAAGGCGACAUCCUGGACCGGUAUUGACGCUGAGGCGCGAAAGCCAGGGGAGCAAACGGG